GGAAGUAAAAGUCGUAACAAGGUUUCCGUAGGUGAACCUGCGGAAGGAUCAUUGUCGAAACCUGCACAGCAGAAAGACCCGCGAACAUAUAUUUACCACUCGGGGGGUAAAGGAGCUCUAAACGGCCUCGGAUCCCCCAUCGUGCCCAGGAUGUUCGGCCUCGGUCAACGCCCUAGGCAUAACAAACGAACCCCGGCGCGGAACGCGUCAAGGAAAAGAAAAAAUAAGCGACCCAUGCCCCUAUUGCCCCGGAGACGGUGUGCCAUGGGGGCGGAUUCGCAGUUGGUUUAAGUCAAAAUGACUCUCGGCAACGGAUAUCUCGGCUCUCGCAUCGAUGAAGAACGUAGCGAAAUGCGAUACCUGGUGUGAAUUGCAGAAUCCCGUGAACCAUCGAGUCUUUGAACGCAAGUUGCGCCUGAAGCCAUCCGGCUGAGGGCACGUCUGCCUGGGCGUCGCACGAUAGACACUAUUGCCCCCCAUAACCUUUUGCCACUCCCUUGUGGAGGGUGUGAGGUGCGAUCAGUAGGGGCGGAUGAUGGCCUCCCGUGUGUGUAAUCUCGCGGUUGGUCGAAAAUGUGUCCUCGGUCAUGUCAUCGUGGCGAAAGGUGGUUGCGAUCAACUUAGCCUUUGUCCCGUCACGUGCUACGGCCAUGUAGUAGGACUCCGGUAAAGACCCCAAUGCACCCGUCACGGAUGCUUCCAUUGCGACCCCAGGUCAGGCGGGUCUACCCGCUGAGUUUAAGCAUAUCAAUAAGCGGAGGA
rnacentral:rRNA from 1 species